AGAAAUCUCUUUUUGAACAAAAUACCUUGUUGGGAAAUCAAGAAGUUCAAUCAACUUGUUUCUAUUCCAAUUUACUCUUAACUUUAUUUAAACUGUUCUACUUACUCAAGCAUUUAUGAAUAUCAAAGUUGUAUUAUAUAUUACAUGACCGUUCCUUCUCAGUAAUAACUAUGAUUCUAGCUAAUGUGCAUAGGUAAGCAGGCAGAAGAGCCAAGGCUUUACAUUUUCUCACCUGGUAACUUUCAUAAUUCUAUUUUUCCUUGUGACAUAUGUAGAAACCUUUAUUACAUAUGCAGUAGGCACAAUCCAGGACACAUUUAUGAAUAAUUAUCGUAUCUCAAGUGGGAAGACAAGGACCUAUGGUAACAGCUCCAUAGUUAUGAGUGAUGCUUAAGUCAAGAAAAACACCAAUCCUUAUUCUUCCCCACUAUUCGAAGGGAACCAACAAAACAAUCCUUAAAUUAUUCAUUAUCAUUACUUCCACCUGUGAUCAAUUAUCAAUGAACUAAAACAUGUCUAAGGUUUGCUCAUUCGUAUUGCCUACCAGGAUUGGUGAAAUGUACGGCAAGAACAAAGAAGGUCACUAGUCUAACAUUCUGGAAUGGGAGCUGGCAAACUUUUUUUGUAAAGGACCAAAGAGUAAAUAUUUUAGGCUUUGUGAACCAAAAGGUAAAAUUGAGGAUACCAUACUAGACUGUUGGGAGCUCUUCAGGGUAUGGACUGCCUCCUAAUCUUCGUAUCAUGAACUAAUAAAAUGGUGCUUGUCACAGAGAAAAUGAAUAAAUGCUUACUGAAGUUUAUUAAUCUGUUAA